UACAGAGGGUGCGAGCGUUAAUCGGAAUUACUGGGCGUAAAGGGCGCGUAGGCGGUCACUCAAGUGAGAUGUGAAAUCCCCGGGCUUAACCCGGAAAGGUCAAUCGAUACUGCAGGGCUAGAGUGCAGAAGGGGCAACUGGAAUUCUCGGUGUAGCGGUGAAAUGCGUAGAUAUCGAGAGGAACACCUGCGGCGAAGGCGGGUUGCUGGGCUGACACUGACGCUGAAGCGCGAAAGCUAGGGGAGCGAACGGG
rnacentral:rRNA from 1 species